GGACCUCCUACUAGUGUGGUAUGAAAUGGUCACACAGAGGUGGUUUUGGUGAGGGCAAAACUUCCUGCCAGCCUGAUAUCUAACUGUGCUGCUUUGGGAAGAGGAGUGCACAGCGAAAGAAAAGGCGCCCCGGAGCACCCUCGCUUCUACAGCAGAAUUCAUACAGUAGCAGGGACUAAAAACCAACUGGCAAGACAUGGAUUGCAAGAUCAGCUCAGAAGAGAGAGAGGAUGCUGACUCUGAAACCCAUUCUAACAAGCAUGCAUGUGCACACACAGACUGCAACAUCAUCAUCAUCAUCAUCAUCAUCUAAUGUUGUAAGGUUUCCACCCGUAUGAAUUUGGAAGAAGUGUAGACACAGAAGUGGACUGGUGACCAGAGUCCAGCCUUUUCUUCAGAAUCAAUAUCCACAGUCUGGCCAUGGGACCUAAGCCUGAAUGUGCCUAUGUGAAGGUGCUGAGCAGGAGCACAGAGGCAAAAGGAUGCCCUGAAUCCUGAUGCGCCCAGUUCAAAGCGAAUGAAUCAGGGAGGGAUUUGAAGAACGCUGUCUCCACCCCAAGGCAUUUCCAUCCUUUUAUUGCUCUCCCAACUUUAUGGUUACUUUGAGCACUGCAGCUUAUUUAGCUACUUCCCUGGGUAGGGCAGAUAUUUCAACAGAUGUGAGCUAUGCCAACUAUCACCUACAGGGAAGGAGAUUAUAAAGGAAAGAACAUUUGAGAGGAAUUAACAAAAAGCAAAUAAAAUGGCACGUCAAAAAGGAGAGCGUCACCGAGAGGGUUUUUCCCCCCCGAAGGGAGGUUGGGACAGGAGAAUGGAUCAAGUGGCGCUCUCAAGGUUUCCGAAGCUGUUUCCUGCACUAAUGUGUAUCUCCUCAUUUUUAGAUCCUAGAACAGAGAACUAGGGAACAUGGGAAACCUAAAAUAAAAAGAUUGUUGCAUUCA
ensembl:lincRNA Gm13874 predicted gene 13874